rnacentral:lncRNA from 1 species
AUUUUUGGCACACGGAGGUGCUUUGCAAAGUAUCGCGCCAUUCCGAGUCAGGCGGAAGAAGUUGGCCAGCCCCACCCUCCAAGGCUAUAGCCCACCCGUUUUUGUGGGCUUUUUCCGCUGGACGAACUUGGCGCCCCGGCCUUCGGGUGGUUAUUUUUGGGCACGGCCAUGCCCGCAGCCUAUUUUUGGCACACGGAGGUGCCUCGCAAAGCCUCGCACCAUUCCGAGUCCGGAGGAAGAAGUUGGCCAGCCCCACCCCCCAAGGCUAUAGCCCACCCCUGUUUGUGGGUUUUUUCCGUUGGACGAACAUGGCGCCCUGGCCUUCGGGCUGUUAUUUUCAGGUACGGCUGUGGCUGCGGCCUAUUUUUGGCACACGGAGGAGCCUCGCAAAGUCUCACGCCAUUCCGAGUCCGGCGGACGAAGUUGGCCAGCCCCACCCCCCAAGGCUAUAGCCCACCCGUUUUUGUGGGCUUUUUCCCCUGGACGAACUUGGUGCCCCGGCCUUCGGGCGGAUAUUUGGCUGUGCCCACGGCCUAUUUUUGGCACACGGAGGCACCUCGCAAAGUCUCGCGCCAGUCCGAGUCCGGCGGACGAAGUUGGCCAGCCCCACCCCCCAAGGCUAUAGCCCACCCAUUUUUGUGGCCUUUUUCCGCAGGACGAACUUGGCGCCCCGGCCUUCGGGCGGUUAUUUUUGGGCGCGGCUGUGCCCCCGGCCUAUUUUUUGCACACGGAGGCACCUCGCAAAGUCUCGCGCCAUUCCGAGUCCGGCGGACGAAGUUGGGCAGCCCCACCCGCCAAGGCUAUAACCCACCCGUUUUUGUGGCCUUUUUCCGCUGGACGAACUUGGCGCCCCGGCCUUCGGGUGGUUAUUUUUGGGCGCGGCUGUGCCCGUGGCCUAUUUUUGGCACACGGAGGCGCCUUGCAAUGUCUCGCGCCAUUUUGAGUCCCGCGGACGAAGUUGGCCAGCCCCACCCCCCAAGGCUAUAGCCCACCCGUUUUUGUGGGCUUUUUCCGCUGGACGAACUUGGCGCCCCGGCCUUCGGGUGGUUAUUUUCGGGCGCGGCUGUACCCGCGGCCUAUUUUUGGCACACGGAGGUGCUUUGCAAAGUCUCGCGCCAUUCCGAGUCAGGCGGAAGAAGUUGGCCAGGCCCACCCUCCAAGGCUAUAGCCCACCCGUUUUUGUGGGCUUUUUCCGCUGGACGAACUUGGCGCCCCGGCCUUCGGGUGGUUAUUUUUGGGCACGGCCAUGCCCGCGGCCUAUUUUUGGCACACGGAGGUGCCUCGCAAAGCCUCGCACCAUUCCGAGUCCGGAGGAAGAAGUUGGCCAGCCCCACCCCCCAAGGCUAUAGCCCACCCCUGUUUGUGGGUUUUUUCCGUUGGACGAACUUGGCGCCCUGGCCUUCGGGCUGUUAUUUUCAGGCACGGCUGUGGCUGCGGCCUAUUUUUGGCACACGGAGGUGCCUCGCAAAGUCUCACGCCAUUCCGAGUCCGGCGGACGAAGUUGGCCAGCCUCACCCCCCAAGGCUAUAGCCCACCCGUUUUUGUGGGCUUUUUCCCCUGGACGAACUUGGUGCCCCGGCCUUCGGGCGGAUAUUUGGCUGUGCCCACGGCCUAUUGUUGGCACACGGAGGCACCUCGCAAAGUCUCGCGCCAUUCUGAGUCCGGCGGACGAAGUUGGGCAGCCCCACCCCCCAAGGCUAUAACCCACCCGUUUUUGUGGCCUUUUUCCGCUGGACGAACUUGGCGCCCCGGCCUUCGGGUGGUUAUUUUUGGGCGCGGCUGUUCCCGUGGCCUAUUUUUGGCACACGGAGGCGCCUUGCAAAGUCUCGCACCAUUCUGAGUCCCGCGGACGAAGUUGGCCAGCCCCACCCCCCAAGGCUAUUGCCCACCCGUUUUUGUGGGCUUUUUCCGCUGGACGAACUUAGCGCCCCGGCUUUCGGGUGGUUAUUUUCGGGCGCGGCUGUACCCGCGGCCUAUUUUUGGCACACGGAGGUGCUUUGCAAAGUCUCGCGCCAUUCCGAGUCAGGCGGAAGAAGUUGGCCAGCCCCACCCUCCAAGGCUAUAGCCCACCCGUUUUUGUGGGCUUUUUCCGCUGGACGAAAUUGGCGUCCCGGCCUUCGGGUGGUUAUUUUUGGGCACGGCCAUGCCCGCGGCCUAUUUUUGGCACACGGAGGUGCCUCGCAAACCCUCGCACCAUUCCGAGUCCGGAGGAAGAAGUUGGCCAGCCCCACCCCCCAAGGCUAUAGCCCACCCUGUUUGUGGGUUUUUUCCGUUGGACGAACUUGGUGCCCUGGCCUUCGGGUGGUUAUUUUUGGGCGCGGCUGUGCCCGUGGCCUAUUUUUGGCACACGGAGGCGCCUUUUAAAGUCUCGCGCCAUUCUGAGUCCCGCGGACGAAGUUGGCCAGCCCCACCCCCCAAGGCUAUAACCCACCCGUUUUUGUGGCCUUUUUCUGCUGGACGAACUUGGCGCCCCGGCCUUCGGGCGGUUAUUUUUGGGCGCAGCUGUGCCCACCGCCUAUUUUUGGCACAAGGAGGCGCCUCGCAAAGUCUCGCGCCAUUCCGGGUCCGGCGGACGAAGUUGGCCAGCCCCACCCCCCGAGGCUAAAGCCCACCCGUUUUUGUGGCCUUUUUCCGCUGGACGAACUUGGCGCCCCGGCCCUCGGGCUGUUAAUUUUAGGCGCGGCUGUGUCCGUGUCCUAUUUUUGGCACACGGAGGCGCCUCGCAAAGUCUCGCGCCAUUCCGAGUCCGGCGUACGAAGUUGGCCAGCCCCACCCCCCAAGGCUAUAGCCCACCCGUUUUUGUGGCCUUUUUCCGCUGGACGAACUUGGCGCCCUGGCCUUCGGGCGGUUAUUUUUGGGCGUAGCUGUGCCCGCGGCCUAUUUUUGGCACACGGAGGCCGCUCCCAAAGUCUCGCGCCAUUCCGAGUCCGGCGGACGAAGUUGGCCAGCCCCACCGCCCAAGGCUAUAGCCCACCCGAUUUUGUGGCCUUUUUCCGCUGGACGAACUUGGCGCCCCGGCCUUCGGGCGGUUAUUUUUGUGCGGCUGUGCCCAUGGCCUUUUUUUUGCACACGGAGGCACCUCGCAAAGUCUCGCACCAUUCCGGGUCCGGCGGACGAAGUUGGCCAGCCCCCCCCCCCCCCCGAGGCUAUAGCCCACCCGUUUUUGUGGCCUUUUUCCGCUGGACGAACUUGGCGCCUCGGCCCUCGGGCGGUUAAUUUUAGGCGUGGCUGUGCCCGUGGCCUAUUUCUGGCACACGGAGGUGCCUCGCAAAGUGUCGCGCCAUUCCGAGUCCGGCGGACGAAGUUGGGCAGCCCCACCCGCCAAGGCUAUAACCCACCCGUUUUUGUGGCCUUUUUCCGCAGGACGAACUUGGCGCCCCGGCCUUCGGGCGGUUAUUUUCGGGCACGGCUGUGGCCGCGGCCUAUUUUUGGCAAUUGGAGGUGCCUCGCAAAGUCUCGCGCCAUUCCGAGUCCGGCGGACGAAGUUGGCCAGCCCCACCCCCCAAGGCUAUAGCCCACCCGUUUUUGUGGGCUUUUUCCCCUGGACGAACUUGGUACCCCGGCCUUCGGGCGGUUAUUUGGCUGUGCCCACGACCUAUUUUUGGCACACGGAGGCGCGUCGCAAAGUCUCGCACCAUUCCGAGUCCGGCGGACGAAGUUGGACAGCCCCACCCCCCAAGGCUAUAUCCCACCCGUUUUUGUGGGCUUUUUCCGCUGGACAAACUUGGCGCCCCGGCCUUCGGGUGGUUAUUUUUGGACGCAGCUGCACCCGUGGCCUAUCUUUGGCACACAGAGGUACCUCGCAAAGUCUCGCGCCAUUCCGAGUCCGGCGGAAGAAGUUGGCCAGCCCCACCCCCCAAGGCUAUAGCCCACCCGUGUUUGUGGGUUUUUUCCGUUGGACGAACUUGGCGCCCCGGCAUUCGGGCAGUUAUUUUUGGGCGUAGCUGUGCCCGCCGCCUAUUUUUGGCACACGGAGGCACCUCGCAAAGUCUCGCGUCAUUCCGUGUCCGGCGGACGAAGUUGGCCAGCCCCACCCCCCGAGGCUAUAUCCCACCCGUUUUUGUGGCCUUUUUCCGCUGGACGAACUUGGCGCCCCGGCCUUCAGGCUGUUAAUUUUAGGCACGGCUGUGUCCGUGGCCUAUUUUUGGCACACAGAGGCGCCUUGCAAAGGCUCGCGCCAUUCCGAGUCCGGCGGACGAAGUUGGCCUGCCCCACCCCCUAAGGCUAUAGCCCACCCGUGUUGAUGGGUUUUUUCCGUUGGACGAACUUGGUACCCCGGCUUUCGGGCUGUUAUUUUUGGGCGCAGCUGUGCACCCGGCCUAUUUUUUGCAUACGGAGGCACCUCGCAAAGUCUCGCGCCAUUCCGAGUCCGGCGGACGAAGUUGGGCAGCCCCACCCCCCAAGGCUAUAACCCACCCGUUUUUGUGGCCUUUUUCCGCUGGACGAACUUGGCGCUCCGGCCUUCGGGUGGUUAUUUUUGGGCGCGGCUGUGCUCGCGGCCUAUUUUUGGCACACGGAGGCCCCUCACAAAGUCUGCGGCAUUCCGAGUCCGGCGGACGAAGUUGGCCAGCCCCACCCCCCAAGGCUAUGCCCACCCGUUUUUGUGGCCUUUUUCCGCUGGACGAACUUGGCGUCCCGGCCUUCGGGCGGUUAUUUUUAGGCGCGGCUUUGCCCGCAGCCUAUUUUUGGCACACGGAGGCCCCUCACAAAGUCUGCGGCAUUCCGAGUCCGGCGGACGAAGUAGGCCAUCCCCACCCCCCAAGGCUAUAGCCCACCCGUUUUUGUGGCCUUUUUCCGCUGGACGAACUUGGCGCCCCGGCCUUCGGGAGGUUAUUUUUGGGCGCGGCUGUGCCCGCGGCCUAUUUUUGGCACACGGAGGCGCCUCGUAAAGUCUCGCACCAUUCCGAGUCCGGCGGAUGAAGUGGGCCAGCCCCGGCCCCCAAGGCUAUAGCCCACCCGUUUUUGUGGCCUUUUUCCGCGGGACGAACUUGGCGCCCCGGCCUUCGGGCGGUUAUUUUUUUGCGCGGCUGUGUCCGGGGCCUAUUUUUGGCACACGGAGGCGGCUCGCAAAGUCUCGCGCCAUUCCGAGUCCGGUGGACGAAGUUGGCCCGCCUCAACCCCCAAGGCUAUAGCCCACCCGUUUUUGUGGCCUUUUUCCCCUGGACGAACUUGACGCCCCGGCCUUCGGGCGGUUAUUUUUGGGUGCGGCUGUGCCCGCAGCCUAUUUUUGGCACACGGAGGCACCUCGCAACGUCUCGCGCCAUUCCGAGUCCGGCGGACGAAGUUGGCCAGUCCCACCCCCCAAGGCUAUAGUCCACCCGUUUUUGUGGCGUUUUUCCGCUAGAAUUAAUAAACGCCCCGGCCUUCGGGCGGUUAUUUUUUAGCGCGGCUGUGCCCACAGCCUAUUUUUGUGACACGGAGGCGCCUCGCAAAGUCUUGCGCCAUUCCGAGUCCGGCGGACGAAGUUGGCCAGCCCCACCCCCCAAGGCUAUAGCCCACCCGUUUUUGUGGCCUUUUUCCGCUGGACGAACUUGGCGCCCCGGCCUUCAGGCGGUUAUUUUUGGGCGCGGCUGU